GAAGCUCAGUGGUAGAGCAUCUGCUGUGCAUGCAGAAGGACCCAGGUUCAAUUCCUAGCAUCUCCA